rnacentral:rRNA from 1 species
GUCGACGAUGAGCUCCAGCUUGCUGGGGUGGAUUAGUGGCGAACGGGUGAGUAACACGUGAGCAACCUGCCCCUGACUCUGGGAUAACAGCCGGAAACGGUUGCUAAUACCGGAUAUGCAUCAUAGCCGCAUGGUUUGUGGUGGGAAAGAUUUAUCGGUUGGGGAUGGGCUCGCGGCCUAUCAGCUUGUUGGUGAGGUAGUGGCUCACCAAGGCGUCGACGGGUAGCCGGCCUGAGAGGGUGACCGGCCACACUGGGACUGAGACACGGCCCAGACUCCUACGGGAGGCAGCAGUGGGGAAUAUUGCACAAUGGGCGGAAGCCUGAUGCAGCAACGCCGCGUGAGGGAUGACGGCCUUCGGGUUGUAAACCUCUUUUAGCAGGGAAGAAGCGUGAGUGACGGUACCUGCAGAAAAAGCGCCGGCUAACUACGUGCCAGCAGCCGCGGUAAUACGUAGGGCGCAAGCGUUAUCCGGAAUUAUUGGGCGUAAAGAGCUCGUACGCGGUUUGUCGCGUCUGCUGUGAAAACCCGAGGCUCAACCUCGGGCCUGCAGUGGGUACGGGCACACUAGAGUGC